rnacentral:rRNA from 1 species
GAUGAACGCUAGCUACAGGCUUAACACAUGCAAGUCGCAGGGUAACAUGAGGAAAGCUUGCUUUCCUUGAUGACGACUGGCGCACGGGUGAGUAACGCGUAUCCAACCUUCCCAUAACUACGGGAUAACCCGUUGAAAGACGGCCUAAUACCGUAUGAUAUCGUUUGCUGACAUCAAAUAACGAUUAAAGGUUUAGCGGUUAUGGAUGGGGAUGCGUCUGAUUAGCUUGUUGGCGGGGUAACGGCCCACCAAGGCGACGAUCAGUAGGGGUUCUGAGAGGAAGGUCCCCCACAUUGGAACUGAGACACGGUCCAAACUCCUACGGGAGGCAGCAGUGAGGAGUAUUGGUCAAUGGGCGAGAGCCUGAACCAGCCAAGUAGCGUGCAGGACGACGGCCCUAUGGGUUGUAAACUGCUUUUAUGUGGGGAUAAAGUGCGUGACGUGUCAUGCAUUGCAGGUACCACAUGAAUAAGGACCGGCUAAUUCCGUG